CACGUAGGCGGUUUGCUAAGUCGGAUGUGAAAGCCCCGGGCUCAACCUGGGAACUGCAUUCGAUACUAUCAGACUAGAGUAUAGAAGAGGCAAGUGGAAUUCCGGGUGUAGCGGUGAAAUGCGUAGAUAUCCGGAGGAACAUCAGUGGCGAAGGCGACUUGCUGGUCUAAUACUGACGCUGAGGUGCGAAAGCGUGGGGAGCAAACG
rnacentral:rRNA from 1 species